rnacentral:misc_RNA from 1 species
GGGAGUAAAAGUCGUAACAAGGUUUCCGUAGGUGAACCUGCGGAAGGAUCAUUAACAAAUAAAAAUAAUCCACCUUUUGGGUGAAAAAUUAUUUAUUUUUCUCCCAUAAGCAACCAUGUGAAAAUUAUGUUAAAGUUUAUACCAGGAUCCAAUAGCCUUUGGGCUUUGGAACCAAUUUUAAAACAACCAAAAAGUUUAACACUUUGUCUUAUUUCUUAUUUCAUUUGGGCCUUCGGGUUUUCAACUGAAAAAUAAAACAUUGAAAAACAACUUUUAACAACGGAUAUCUUGGCUCUU